CGCGUUACUGGUCCGGAAAACGCAGGAUUUGUAAUCAGUGGGUCGGGGGUUCGAAUCCUCCAGCCGGCACCA
rnacentral:tRNA from 1 species